GAUGAACGCUGGCGGCGUGCUUAACACAUGCCAGUCGAACGAAGCAUUUGCGACAGAUUUUUUCGGAAUGAAGUUGCUUAUGACUGAGUGGCGGACGGGUGAGUAACGCGUGGGUAACCUGCCUUGUACUGGGGGAUAGCAGCUGGAAACGGCUGGUAAUACCGCAUAAGCGCACAAUGUUGCAUGACAUGGUGUGAAAAACUCCGGUGGUAUAAGAUGGACCCGCGUCUGAUUAGCUAGUUGGUGAGAUAACAGCCCACCAAGGCGACGAUCAGUAGCCGAGCUGAGAGGGUGACCGGCCACAUUGGGACUGAGACACGGCCCAGACUCCUACGGGAGGCAGCAGUGGGGAAUAUUGCACAAUGGAGGAAACUCUGAUGCAGCGACGCCGCGUGAGUGAAGAAGUAAUUCGUUAUGUAAAGCUCUAUCAGCAGGGAAGAUAGUGACGGUACCUGAAUAAGAAGCUCCGGCUAAAUACGUG
rnacentral:rRNA from 1 species